rnacentral:rRNA from 1 species
UACGGAGGGUGCGAGCGUUGUCCGGAAUCACUGGGCGUAAAGGGCGCGUAGGCGGCCUGGCAAGUCGAUGGUGAAAGCCCGAGCUCAACUUCGGGUCGGCCACUGAUACUGCUGGGCUUGAGUCGACUAGAGGCAGAUGGAAUUCCGGGGUGUAGCGGUGGAAUGCGUAGAGAUCCGGAAAGAACACCGGUGGCGAAGGCGGUCUGCUGGGGUCGAACUGGAC